rnacentral:rRNA from 1 species
GACGAACGCUGGCGGCGUGCUUAACACAUGCAAGUCGAACGGUAAGGCCCUUCGGGGUACACGAGUGGCGAACGGGUGAGUAACACGUGGGUGAUCUGCCCUGCACUUCGGGAUAAGCCUGGGAAACUGGGUCUAAUACCGGAUAGGACCACUGCCUGCAUGGGUGGUGGUGGAAAGCUUUUGCGGUGUGGGAUGGGCCCGCGGCCUAUCAGCUUGUUGGUGGGGUGAUGGCCUACCAAGGCGACGACGGGUAGCCGGCCUGAGAGGGUGACCGGCCAAACUGGGACUGAGAUACGGCCCAGACUCCUACGGGAGGCAGCAGUGGGGAAUAUUGCACAAUGGGCGCAAGCCUGAUGCAGCGACGCCGCGUGAGGGAUGACGGCCUUCGGGUUGUAAACCUCAUUCAGCACAGACGAAGCGCAAGUGACGGUAUGUGCAGAAGAAGGACCGGCCAACUACGUGCCAGCAGCCGCGGUAA